rnacentral:misc_RNA from 1 species
CCACAAGGAAAGCGCCGCAUGGAAAUCGCGUAACGUGGUCCGAUGUGUGCGGCGGCGCCGGUGCCCACGGCGACGCAGUGCAGGAGACAGCUUGCCGGCGCAGGGGAGACCACCAAGGACGAGGGUGGAAAAGCACCAACAACCAAAAAAAAAGAACGGUUUGCUAACAUUCUGAUGUUGGCGCACGUCCGUUCUGGAGUCUAGCAUGCACAAGCCUUCGUAGCAAGCGCCGUUAGUUAGCCGAGUGUGCGGUUUUCGCUCCUUGCAGUGGAACUGCGGCUGCUUGUCGUGCUACCACAGCUACUACUCGCCUGCUUGCCUCGAUGAAGUGUGCGUUUGUGCUUGCAUGCGCGUUCUCCGUAGCUGUUUAGAACUUGAUCGUCUUGCUGCGAACGCGGACACGGCGGCGCAACCAUAAAAACACCUCUAUUGCAACGAAGAUCAUGUGAGUAGUGUUGCGGAUAGUCGUGGCAGCCUAUACCGUUGGAAUUGUGUCAACCGAUCAAAGACAACGGUGGUGAGCUGUCUCUUACUAUGCAGCCUCUGCCACUGGGACUGACCUGCGCAUUUCACUUUUACGCAACUCGCAUGGUCCCUCUCGAACAGCGUCUCUUCAUAGGCUUUUGCGCGCCCGAGGGAUUUUCUGAGCAGCUAUGCCCUCAGCACUGGGAGAGAAUCAACCUCCACUUUCCCUUCCCAACGACCACCGCACAAUCAACGUCUCACUAUUGCAAG